GGCGGACGGGUGAGUAACGCGUGAGUAACCUGCCUUACAGGAGGGGGAUAACGUUUGGAAACGAACGCUAAUACCGCAUAAUGUAUCUGAUAUCGCAUGGUAUUGAUACCAAAAGAUUUUAUCGCUGUAAGAUGGACUCAUGUCUGAUUAGCUAGUUGGUGAGGUAACGGCUCACCAAGGCGACGAUCAGUAGCCGGUCUGAGAGGAUGAACGGCCACAUUGGGACUGAGAUACGGCCCAGACUCCUACGGGAGGCAGCAGUGGGGAAUAUUGGGCAAUGGGGGAAACCCUGACCCAGCAACGCCGCGUGAAGGAAGAAGGCCUUCGGGUUGUAAACUUCUGUUGUAAGGGACGAAACAAAUGACGGUACCUUACGAGGAAGCCACGGCUAACUACGUG
rnacentral:rRNA from 1 species